GCCCGAGUGGCGGAAUGGCAGACGCACCGGACUCAAAAUCCGGCGAUGGCAACAUCGUGUGGGUUCGACUCCCACCUCGGGCA
rnacentral:tRNA from 2 species